AGUGAACGCUGGCGGUAGGCCUAACACAUGCAAGUCGAACGGCAGCACAGUAAGAGCUUGCUCUUACGGGUGGCGAGUGGCGGACGGGUGAGGAAUACAUCGGAAUCUACUUUUUCGUGGGGGAUAACGUAGGGAAACUUACGCUAAUACCGCAUACGACCUACGGGUGAAAGCAGGGGAUCUUCGGACCUUGCGCGAUAGAAUGAGCCGAUGUCGGAUUAGCUAGUUGGCGGGGUAAAGGCCCACCAAGGCGACGAUCCGUAGCUGGUCUGAGAGGAUGAUCAGCCACACUGGAACUGAGACACGGCCCAGACUCCUACGGGAGGCAGCAGUGGGGAAUAUUGGACAAUGGGCGCAAGCCUGAUCCAGCCAUACCGCGUGGGUGAAGAAGGCCUUCGGGUUGUAAAGCCCUUUUGUUGGGAAAGAAAAGCAGCAGGUUAAUACCCCGCUGUUCUGACGGUACCCAAAGAAUAAGCACCGGCUAACUUCGUG
rnacentral:rRNA from 1 species